rnacentral:ribozyme from 14 species
AGUGGUAUCACAGUUGUUAUAAGUGACUUUUCAAAUUCUUUUUUUUUUUUUUUUUUUUUUUUU